rnacentral:rRNA from 1 species
CGGAUGAAGGGAGCUUGCUCCUGGAUUCAGCGGCGGACGGGUGAGUAAUGCCUAGGAAUCUGCCUGGUAGUGGGGGAUAACGUCCGGAAACGGGCGCUAAUACCGCAUACGUCCUGAGGGAGAAAGUGGGGGAUCUUCGGACCUCACGCUAUCAGAUGAGCCUAGGUCGGAUUAGCUAGUUGGUGGGGUAAAGGCCUACCAAGGCGACGAUCCGUAACUGGUCUGAGAGGAUGAUCAGUCACACUGGAACUGAGACACGGUCCAGACUCCUACGGGAGGCAGCAGUGGGGAAUAUUGGACAAUGGGCGAAAGCCUGAUCCAGCCAUGCCGCGUGUGUGAAGAAGGUCUUCGGAUUGUAAAGCACUUUAAGUUGGGAGGAAGGGCAGUAAGUUAAUACCUUGCUGUUUUGACGUUACCAACAGAAUAAGCACCGGCUAACUUCGUGCCAGCAGCCGCGGUAAUACGAAGGGUGCAAGCGUUAAUCGGAAUUACUGGGCGUAAAGCGCGCGUAGGUGGUUCAGCAAGUUGGAUGUGAAAUCCCCGGGCUCAACCUGGGAACUGCAUCCAAAACUACUGAGCUAGAGUACGGUAGAGGGUGGUGGAAUUUCCUGUGUAGCGGUGAAAUGCGUAGAUAUAGGAAGGAACACCAGUGGCGAAGGCGACCACCUGGACUGAUACUGACACUGAGGUGCGAAAGCGUGGGGA